GCGCCCGUAGCUCAGUUGGAUAGAGCACGAGCCUUCUAAGCUCGGGGUCGCUGGUUCGAUUCCAGCCGGGCGCACCA
rnacentral:tRNA from 1 species